rnacentral:lncRNA from 1 species
CAUUAAGUGUCUCCUAUUUCCUUCUAGCUGGAAUGUACCUCCUUCUCAGCUGAUUCAACAUCUACUUGCCUGCAGCUCAGAUGUUACCUCCACUGUGCCUGAGACAAUGAUUAGGAACUCAUCUACACAUUAUAUUUGAGUCCCUAUCUGCUUGGUAAUAAAGAUCCAGCCAGACGAGACGGGGUGUAUACCAUUGCACAUGGGUCCUGCUGCCUUUUGAGCCUCUGGGUUGAAGAGCAAGUGCAAUUAGCAUUCCAAGGUGUGAAUUAUUUCCUCACAGUACGAGGCCCUGCAACAUCUUCUUGUGAUUACAAAGGCUGGACUAACUGCAACUUUCAUAAGUUGUAAAGUGUACACAGUAAAGACACAUAGAAAAGUUCUUAAAAGUUAUAAAUCCAAACAUUUCAUAGUGCUUAGAACCCAUUUAAUUACAGAACAAGAGACAGUUUCCGAAGAGCUUGCGGUUCAGUGACUUCCCACGUCUUGUUUCUGUUAAUCAAAGCAAAACAAAAAACUAAGACCCAAACCAGCUCCACUGGAAUCAUCCUUUAAACUCAUUCUAAACUUGUAUCAUCCUAUUGAAUUGAAGCCCACAGGGAAGAGGGCCCAGAAAAUCCCUGGACCUCCUGUGUGAAUGCUAAGUCACAUCUAACUCUUAGUGACCCCGUGGACUCUAG